GGACUACUGGGGUAUCUAAUCCUGUUUGCUCCCCACGCUUUCGCACCUCAGCGUCAGUACCGGGCCAGUGAGCCGCCUUCGCCACUGGUGUUCUUGCGAAUAUCUACGAAUUUCACCUCUACACUCGCAGUUCCACUCACCUCUCCCGGACUCCAGAUCCUCAGUAUCAAAGGCAGUUCCAAGGUUGAGCCCUGGCAUUUCACCCCUGACUUAAAGAUCCGCCUACGUGCGCUUUACGCCCAGUGAUUCCGAACAACGCUAGCCCCCUUCGUAUUACCGCGGCGGCUGGCAC
rnacentral:rRNA from 1 species